rnacentral:rRNA from 1 species
GAUGAACGCUGGCGGCGUGCUUAACACAUGCAAGUCGAACGGAAAGGCCCCUGCUUGCAGGGGUACUCGAGUGGCGAACGGGUGAGUAACACGUGGGUGAUCUGCCCUGCACUUCGGGAUAAGCCUGGGAAACUGGGUCUAAUACCGGAUAGGACGAUGGUUUGGAUGCCAUUGUGGAAAGGUUUUCGGUGUGGGAUGAGCUCGCGGCCUAUCAGCUUGUUGGUGGGGUAAUGGCCUACCAAGGCGUCGACGGGUAGCCGGCCUGAGAGGGUGUACGGCCACACUGGGACUGAGAUACGGCACAGCCUCCUACGGGAGGCAGCAGUGCGGAAUAUUGCACAAUGGGCGGAAGCCUGAUGCAGCGACGCCGCGUGGGGGAUGACGGCCUUCGGGUUGUAAACUCCUUUCGCUAGGGACGAAGCGAAAGUGACGGUACCUGGAGAAGAAGCACCGGCUAACUACGUG